UGCCCAGUAGUGGGGGAUAGCCCGGGGAAACCCGGAUUAAUACCGCAUACGUCCUACGGGAGAAAGCAGGGGAUCUUCGGACCUUGCGCUAUUGGAUGAGCCUAAGUCGGAUUAGCUAGUUGGUGGGGUAAAGGCCUACCAAGGCGACGAUCCGUAGCUGGUCUGAGAGGAUGAUCAGCCACAUCGGGACUGAGACACGGCCCGAACUCCUACGGGAGGCAGCAGUGGGGAAUAUUGGACAAUGGGGGCAACCCUGAUCCAGCCAUGCCGCGUGUGUGAAGAAGGCUUUCGGGUUGUAAAGCACUUUCAGUAGGGAGGAAAACCUUAUGGCUAAUACCCAUGAGGCUGACGUUACCUACAGAAGAAGCACCGGCUAACUCCGUGCCAGCAGCCGCGGUAAUACGGAAAGGUGCAAGCGUUAAUCGGAAUUACUGGGCGUAAAGCGCGCGUAGGUGGUUUGGUAAGCGAGAUGUGAAAGCCCCGGGCUUAACCUGGGAACGGCAUUUCGAACUGUCAGACUAGAGUGUGGUAGAGGGUAGUGGAAUUUCCUGUGUAGCGGUGAAAUGCGUAGAUAUAGGAAGGAACACCAGUGGCGAAGGCGGCUACCUGGACCAACACUGACACUGAGGUGCGAAAGCGUGGGGAGCAAACAGGAUUAGAUACCCUGGUAGUCCACGCCGUAAACGAUGUCAACUAGCCGUUGGGACUCUUGAAGUCUUAGUGGCGCAGCUAACGCACUAAGUUGACCGCCUGGGGAGUACGGCCGCAAGGUUAAAACUCAAAUGAAUUGACGGGGGCCCGCACAAGCGGUGGAGCAUGUGGUUUAAUUCGACGCAACGCGAAGAACCUUACCUGGCCUUGACAUCCAGAGAACUUUCCAGAGAUGGAUUGGUGCCUUCGGGAACUCUGAGACAGGUGCUGCAUGGCCGUCGUCAGCUCGUGUCGUGAGAUGUUGGGUUAAGUCCCGUAACGAGCGCAACCCCUAUCCCUGGUUGCUAGCAGGUAAUGCUGAGAACUCCAGGGAGACUGCCGGUGACAAACCGGAGGAAGGUGGGGAUGACGUCAGGUCAUCAUGGCCCUUACGGCCAGGGCUACACACGUGCUACAAUGGCGCGUACAGAGGGCUGCCAACUCGCGAGAGUGAGCCAAUCCCUUAAAACGCGUCGUAGUCCGGAUCGGAGUCUGCAACUCGACUCCGUGAAGUCGGAAUCGCUAGUAAUCGCGAAUCAGAAUGUCGCGGUGAAUACGUUCCCGGGCCUUGUACACACCGCCCGUCACACCAUGGGAGUGGAUUGCACCAGAAGUGGCUAGCUUAACCUUCGGGAGGGCGAUUACCA
rnacentral:rRNA from 1 species